UACGUAGGGUGCGAGCGUUGUCCGGAAUUAUUGGGCGUAAAGAGCUCGUAGGCGGUUUGUUGCGUCUAUCGUGAAAACCUGCAGCUUAACUGUGGGCUUGCGGUGGAUACGGGCAGACUUGAGUUCGGUAGGGGGAGACUGGAAUUCCUGGUGUAGCGGUGAAAUGCGCAGAUAUCAGGAGGAACACCGGUGGCGAAGGCGGGUCUCUGGGCCUUACCUGACGCUGAGGAGCGAAAGCGUGGGGAGCGAACAGG
rnacentral:rRNA from 1 species